rnacentral:rRNA from 1 species
UACUGGGCAAUGGGCGCAAGCCUGACCCAGCCACGCCGCGUGAGUGAUGAAGGCCUUCGGGUUGUAAAGCUCAGUGGGGAGGGAAGAAAAAUCCGGGGUCGAAAAGCGCCCGGAUUCGACGGUACCGACUUAUCAAGCUCCGGCUAACCCCCGGCCAGCACCCGCGGUAAGACAGAGGGUGCAAACGUUGCUCGGAAUUACUGGGCGUAAAGGGCGCGUAGGCGGAUUUGGAAGUCGGGUGUGAAAUCCCUGGGCUCAACCUAGGAACUGCAUUCGAAACUCCAAGUCUAGAGUGACGGAGAGGAAAGCGGAAUUCCCGGUGUAGAGGUGAAAUUCGUAGAUAUCGGGAGGAACACCAGAGGCGAAGGCGGCUUUCUGGACGUCUACUGACGCUGAGGCGCGAAAGCGUGGGGAGCAAAC